rnacentral:tRNA from 1 species
ACCAGUGUGGCGUAGUGGAUUAAGUGCUGGACUACAACUCUGGAGACCAGAGUUCAAUUCCCAGCUUGGCCA